UACAGAGGUCCCAAGCGUUGUUCGGAUUCACUGGGCGUAAAGGGUGCGUAGGUGGCAAGGUAAGUUUGAUGUGAAAUCUCCGGGCUUAACCCGGAAACUGCAUUGAAUACUAUCUUGCUCGAGGGUUGGAGGGGGGACUGGAAUACUUGGUGUAGCAGUGAAAUGCGUAGAUAUCAAGUGGAACACCAGUGGCGAAGGCGAGUCCCUGGACAACUCCUGACACUGAGGCACGAAAGCUAGGGGAGCAAACAGG
rnacentral:rRNA from 1 species